AGAGAUUAGACAUUUUUCAAACGCAUUUUUUUAUUAGUUGGAGAUGAUGAAAGUGAAUAAUUAUGAGUGAAAACGUUAUUACUGUAUUGAAACAACAUAAUAAAACUUUGAAACAAGCUAAACGAUUAAAAUAUAAUCAAUUCAGACGAUUCUCUAUAUUCGAGCAUUCAUUGUCAGUCAUGACAUCAUAAUUCUGAAACUACUGAACAGAAUUUGAUGAAAUUUGGAUAUAUUGUGCAUAAAAAUGGUCCAGAGAGGUUGACGUUGCCCUUUUUUCAAAUUUCUUCGUAUUUUUCGAGAUAUUGUCAUUUGAAAAUUUCAAAUGGCUAUAACUUUGAUUUAACAAAAUUAAUCAAAAAAAGGGCAACGUCAAGUUGUCGGGAAUUCAUUUCUGCACAACAUAUUCAAAUUUCAUCAAAUUCUGUUCAGUAGUUUCAGAAUUAUGAUGUCAUGACUGACAAUGAAUGCUCGAAUAUAGAGAAUCGUCUGAAUUCAUUAUACAUAUAUUAAUCGUUUAGCUUGUUUCAAAGUUUUAUUAUGUUGUUUCAAUACAGUAAUAACGUUUUCACUCAUAAUUAUUCACUUUCAUUAUCUCCAACUAAUAAAAAAAUGCGUUUGAAAAAUGUCUAAUCUCUGCCCGCGGGUAUGCUAAAAAGUAAACAAACAAUACGUAGAGCACCCUCUUAACUAUGACGAUAAUUUAUUACAUGCCUUUAAAAUAUUAUAAAUUGUAUUUUAAGCACAUCCAGUUCACUGAUUAAUCCAUCCAACAUAUUGUGUUUAUGGCCAGUCAUCGUUAUGGACUUAUCAACGAGUGCUGCACCUAGUUAUAUGAAUGGUUAUCCCAUCGGCGAUAUGAAUACCUCACCGAAUGCCAGUGGUACGCCUACGGUGCCUUUAGCUUUUGACCCGAGUAUGGCUACUCCAGUUCCGCCGGAAAUGCCGGAAUACAUACCACCUCCAUCGAUGCCUCCUGGUCCGAUGAUGACAUCAGUUCCAAUGCUUUACGGUCUUCCUCCAGGGCCGUAUCCGUAUGCCUAGCAAACAAAUGUGCCUCACAUGGAUGCUCCUAAUGAUGCCGCCUGUUACUACACUGGCUGGUAUUAUUAAUAAGUUCAACGCCGUUAGAUUUAUUCAAAUUUUACGUCGAAGAUCUCAUAUCUCGUUUCCACGAUGAGAGAACAAUAAUCAAAGAAAUAUUAAAAGCGAAGAACUUCGAAAUUGAGAUAUACACUACAUUCGAACAAUUCGCAACUGUCGUGUGUGAAGAUACAAGAUCAACCACAUUGGACGCCGGUAACGUUAAGUUAACGUAUUAUGCAUUAUUAGAGAAGGCCAAAGUUCGAGAAGAAGCUCAUAAACAGAAUAAAUUCCGCCUUUUUAGUACGCUUGCAAGACUUGAACGUGAACCAUGAACAAGAAUGGGAAGAAGUACGUGAGAAAUUACAAGAAGAAAGCGCUUUCAAAGAUAUUAUGUUGGAAUCUGAGCGAAUUCGAUUAUAUGUAUAAGGAAUACCAACAUAGUAUGAUGGAGGAAGCCUGCUUUCUCGUUAAUUAUCGAUCGAAAAAAUCGAAGGAAACUAAAAAAGUAAAAAAACGAUCUGUUCGUUCUCCAAUCAUCAUAAUUCGCGUUCCAAACAUAAGAAAGAAAAGAAGAAGAAGAAAGCGAAGUCACCUUCGCCCCUUGCUCAUUCCAAUCGUAAAUAUAAGGAGUCUAGCGAAAGCCGACAUAAAUCCAGCGAAGAUGAUAAGAACGAACGUCAAGAUGCCAGAGAUGAAAAUACUCGCGAAAAAAGCCCCGAAGCUGGAAAACCAUUAGAUGUGGUACGCGCACCAUCGGUCAGCGAUCAAAUUUCUGCUCACGGUGAACCGACUGAACCCGUCGUCGAACAAAAAGAUACCUCUAAAUUGUCCAAACAUAGAAAUAAAGACGGCAGGAAUCAGAGGAGCUGAGCGAUGGAAAGUUGGAAAGAAGACGUAAUGCAUUAUUGCAACAACUUUACGCUGAUUCUGAAGAUUCCGAGUGAUUUUUUAUACGUAAUUUUCCUGAUAUAUUUCGUAGAAGGAUAAUGUUCGUUCUGAUGAUAAUGUCAUGGUGUUGUGACGUAGUAAGGGAGUAGAUUAGAUUUUGUACGUUUGUUUGUUUCUUCGAAAUUACGAUUACCCCAGCAUUCGUAAUAUUUUUUUAUUUAUUGAUGAUGAAUUCGGAUGGCAUUUUUACAUAUUAUGUUUUUGUAACCUGUGCAAAGUUUAAAAGAAUAACGCUUUAUGUUUAUUCAUUUAUACGUAAUUAUAUGGAAGUGCAUUUUUGUAAUUUAAACUCAUUUCUCUAGGAUUUAAAUAAAAUACUAUUGUUUUUAUUUAGGAAUUACCUUUGUGUAAACUUCGAAUGAUUUACUUCAUUUUUUAAAAAAAUUAUUAUUACAUUACAAAAUCUUUGUAAUAAAAUGAAGUACCCCUAGUACCAGUAUUUCAGAUUUGGUUGAAAUCUGCGGAAUUGAUGACUACAGAAAUAAAUACUUAAAUUAGA